AGAGUUUGAUCAUGGCUCAGAUUGAACGCUGGCGGCAUGCCUUACACAUGCAAGUCGAACGGCAGCACGGGAGCUUGCUCCUGGUGGCGAGUGGCGAACGGGUGAGUAAUAUAUCGGAACGUACCCUAGAGUGGGGGAUAACGCAGCGAAAGUUGCGCUAAUACCGCAUACGAUCUACGGAUGAAAGUGGGGGAUCGCAAGACCUCAUGCUCAUGGAGCGGCCGAUAUCUGAUUAGCUAGUUGGUGGGGUAAAGGCCUACCAAGGCUUCGAUCAGUAGCUGGUCUGAGAGGACGACCAGCCACACUGGAACUGAGACACGGUCCAGACUCCUACGGGAGGCAGCAGUGGGGAAUUUUGGACAAUGGGCGAAAGCCUGAUCCAGCAAUGCCGCGUGAGUGAAGAAGGCCUUCGGGUUGUAAAGCUCUUUUGUCAGGGAAGAAACGGUGGACUCUAAUACAGAUCACUAAUGACGGUACCUGAAGAAUAAGCACCGGCUAACUACGUGCCAGCAGCCGCGGUAAUACGUAGGGUGCGAGCGUUAAUCGGAAUUACUGGGCGUAAAGCGUGCGCAGGCGGAUUGUUAAGCAAGAUGUGAAAUCCCCGGGCUUAACCUGGGAAUGGCAUUUUGAACUGGCAGUCUAGAGUGCGUCAGAGGGGGGUGGAAUUCCACGUGUAGCAGUGAAAUGCGUAGAGAUGUGGAGGAACACCGAUGGCGAAGGCAGCCCCCUGGGGAUGACACUGACGCUCAUGUACGAAAGCGUGGG
rnacentral:rRNA from 1 species